rnacentral:rRNA from 1 species
GACGAACGCUGGCGGCGUGCUUAACACAUGCCAGUCGAACGGAAAGGCUCGAGCUUGCUGUAGUAGUCGAGUGGCGAACGGGUGAGUAACACGUGGGUAAUCUGCCCUUCACUCUGGGAUAAGCCUUGGAAACGGGGUCUAAUACUGGAUAUGAGCUGUCUCCUUAUGUGGUUCGGUGGAAAGUUACUCGGUGUAGGAUGAGCCCGCGGGCUAUCAGCUUGUUGGGGGGGUGAGGGCAUACCAAGGCGACGACGGGUAGCCGGCCUGAGAGGGGGAUCGGCCACAAUGGGACUGAGAUACGGCCCAGAAUCCUACGGGAGGCAGCAGUGGGGAAUAUUGCACAAUGGGCGGAAGCCUGAGGCAGCGACGCCGCGUGAGGGAUGACGGCCUUCGGGUUGUAAACCUCUUUGAGCAGGGAAGAAGCGUAAGUGACGGUACCUGCAGAAAAAGCCCCGGCUAACUACGUG